AUUGAACGCUGGCGGCAGGCCUAACACAUGCAAGUCGAGCGGAUCGGCGGACGGGUGAGUCUUGCCUAGGAAUCUGCCUGGUAGUGGGGGAUAACGUUCGGAACUGGGCGCUAAUACCGCAUACUCUCCGAUGAGCAUGGGUCGGAUUGGCUAGUGGGGGGGGUAAAGGCCAACCAAGGCGAAGAUCCGUACCUGGUCUGAGAGGAUGAUCAGGAACACUGGAACUGAGACACGGUCCAGACUCCUACGGGAGGCAGCAGUGGGGAAUAUUGGACAAUGGGCGAAAGCCUGAUCCAGCCAUGCCGCGUGUGUGAAGAAGGUCUUCGGAUUGUAAAGCACUUUAAGUUGGGAGGCGUUACCAACAGAAUAAGCACCGGCUAACUUCGUGCCAGCCGCCGCGGUAAUAC
rnacentral:rRNA from 1 species